AACGAACGCUGGCGGCAUGCCUAACACAUGCAAGUCGAACGAUUGCCUUCGGGUGAUAGUGGCGCACGGGUGCGUAACGCGUGGGAAUCUUCCCUUAGGUUCGGAAUAACAGCUGGAAACGGCUGCUAAUACCGGAUGAUAUCGCGAGAUCAAAGAUUUAUCGCCUGAGGAUGAGCCCGCGUUGGAUUAGGUAGUUGGUGGGGUAAAGGCCUACCAAGCCGACGAUCCAUAGCUGGUCUGAGAGGAUGAUCAGCCACACUGGGACUGAGACACGGCCCAGAAUCCUACGGGAGGCAGCAGUGGGGAAUAUUGGACAAUGGGCGCAAGCCUGAACCAGCAAUGCCGCGUGAGUGAUGAAGGCCCUAGGGUUGUAAAGCUCUUUUACCCGGGAAGAGAAUGACUGUACCGGGAGAAUAAGCCCCGGCUAACUCCGUG
rnacentral:rRNA from 1 species